UACGGGGGGUGCGAGCGUUGUCCGGAAUUACUGGGCGUAAAGGGCGCGUAGGCGGCACUGUUAGUCAGGCGUGAAAGUCCUGGGCUCAACCUGGGAACUGCGCUUGAUACGGCAGAGCUAGAGGAUGGAAGAGGGUCGCGGAAUUCCCAGUGUAGAGGUGAAAUUCGUAGAUAUUGGGAAGAACACCGGUGGCGAAGGCGGCGACCUGGUCCAUUACUGACGCUGAGGCGCGACAGCGUGGGGAGCAAACAGG
rnacentral:rRNA from 1 species